rnacentral:rRNA from 1 species
GACGAACGCUGGCGGCGUGCUUAACACAUGCAAGUCGAACGGAAAGGCCCCUUUGGUGUUACUCGCGUGGCGAACGGGUGGGUAACACGUGAGUAACCUGCCCUUGCCUUCCGGUUAACUUCCUGCAACUGGGUCUAAUACCUGCUAGGAAUCCUUGCUGCCUGGUGGGGGUUGGAAAGCUUCUGCGGUUUUGGAUGGACUCGCGGCUUAUUAGCUUGUUGGUUGGGUAGUGGCUUACCAAGGCUUUGACGGGUAGCCGGCCUGAGAGGGCGGGCGGCCAAAAUGGGACUGAGAUACGGCCCAGACGCCUACGGGAGGCAGCAGGGGGGAAUAUUGCAAAAUGGGCGGAAGCCUGAUGCAGGAAAGGCGCGGGCGGGAUGAAGGGCUUCGGGUUGUAAACCGCUUUCAGCAGGGGAGAAGCCUGGGGUGACGGUACCUGCAGAAGAAGCACCGGCUAACUACGUG